rnacentral:rRNA from 1 species
GAUCAGUGGCUCAGGACGAACGCUGGCGGCGUGCUUAACACAUGCAAGUCGAACGAUGAACCGGAGCUUGCUCCGGGGAUUAGUGGCGAACGGGUGAGUAACACGUGGGCAACCUGCCCCAGACACCGGGAUAACCUUCCGAAAGGAUGGCUAAUACCGGAUACGACCACUUCGGGCAUCCGACGGUGGUGGAAAGGAUUCUGGUCUGGGAUGGGCCCGCGGCCUAUCAGCUUGUUGGUGGGGUAAUGGCCUACCAAGGCGACGACGGGUAGCCGGCCUGAGAGGGCGACCGGCCACACUGGGACUGAGACACGGCCCAGACUCCUAUGGGAGGCAGCAGUGGGAAUAUUGCGCAAUGGGCGAAAGCCUGACGCAGCGACGCCGCGUGAGGGACGAAGGUCUUCGGAUUGUAAACCUCUUUCAGCAGGGACGAAGCGAAAGUGACUGUACCUGCAGAAGAAGCACCGGCUAACUACGUG